UGAGCAAUCUGCCCUUCUCAUCGGAAUAAGCGUUGGAAACGACGUCUAAUGCCGAAUACGACCUCCUUUCGCAUGAUCGGAGGUGGAAAGCUCCGGCGGAGAAGGAUGAGCUCGCGGCCUAUCAGCUAGUUGGUGUGGGUAACGGCCCACCAAGGCGACGACGGGUACG
rnacentral:rRNA from 1 species